rnacentral:rRNA from 1 species
GCAAUACGGAGCGGCAGACGGGAGAGUAACACGUGGGAACGUACCCUUCAGUACGGAACAACCAAGGGAAACUUUGGCUAAUACCGUAUACGUCCGUAAGGAGAAAGAUUUAUCGCUGAAGGAUCGGCCCGCGUCUGAUUAGCUUGUUGGUGAGGUAACGGCUCACCAAGGCGACGAUCAGUAGCUGGUCUGAGAGGAUGAUCAGCCUCACUGGGACUGAGACACGGCCCAGACUCCUACGGGAGGCAGCAGUGGGGAAUAUUGGACAAUGGGCGCAAGCCUGAUCCAGCCAUGCCGCGUGGGUGAUGAAGGCCCUAGGG